rnacentral:tRNA from 1 species
GGAGAUAUAGCUCAGUGGUAGAGUGCUUUGCCUAGCAUGCACAAGGCCCUGAGUUCAAUCCCCAGUACCACCA